CAGGGGCGGCAGGGGCGGCAGCAGCGAGGAGGAGAACAGCAGCAACGAGAGCCGACAGGAGCAGAGCCGACAGGAGCAGAGCCGACAGGAGCAGAGCCGACAGGAGCAGAGCCGACAGGAGCAGAGCAGUGAGGAGACGGGAGGAGGAGCCAGCGUCACUCUGUCCAACUGUGUGGAAUAUGUCGCCGUUGGCAACGUAACAGUGGACGCAGACUGUAUCAGUCUCAUAUUCACCAGUGUUUGGAGAAAUGCUUCUCCAGGAUGUCAGACGGUGGAUCAUGUGACCUUCUUCCAGGACUGUCCCAAACCCACAAACAAAGCCCCAGUCCUGGUCUAGGCCCUAGUCCUGGUCUGGAUCCUGGUCCUGGUCUGGAUCCUGGUCCUGGUCUGGAUCCUGGUCCUGGUCUGGAUCCUGGUU